GACGUAGGAGGCGAGCGUUGUCCGGAUUCAUUGGGCGUAAAGAGCGCGCAGGCGGUCGUUCAAGUCGCGUGUGAAAGCCCCCGGCUCAACUGGGGAGGGUCACGCGAUACUGAUCGACUCGAAGGCAGGAGAGGGAAGUGGAAUUCCCGGUGUAGUGGUGAAAUGCGUAGAUAUCGGGAGGAACACCAGUGGCGAAGGCGACUUCCUGGCCUGUUCUUGACGCUGAGGCGCGAAAGCUAGGGGAGCAAACGGG
rnacentral:rRNA from 1 species